rnacentral:rRNA from 1 species
CCCCUCCAUAUCCUGGGCUGCACGCGGGUUACAAUAGAGGGGAGGACUGGGUAGGCCCGCGCUUUUUUGGUGUGGGUGUCUGCGAUGGCGAAAGCCAAGAGCAAACCCUUGAACCCCUGAAGAAAAGAAGCUUUGUGCUUUGGAUUGGACUUUGGAACCAAGUCCAUGAAAUAGGAAUGCCUUGUCGUCAUGCGUCAUGAACGUGUGGCGAAUAAGUCCCUGCCUUUUGUACACACCGCCCGUCGCUUCAACUGAUUUUGAUAGCAUUGAGGUGCGCGGACUUCUUCUUUGAGGGAGAAAGCGUAACGACAUGUUGUUAAGAGAGGAUGAAGAANUCGUANCA